rnacentral:rRNA from 1 species
AACGCGAAGAACCUUACCCAGACUUGACAUACUUUGGACAGCAGUAGAGAUAUUGCCUUCUCGAAAGAGACCAUUGAACAGGUGCUGCAUGGCUGUCGUCAGCUCGUGCCGUGAGGUGUUGGGUUAAGUCCCGCAACGAGCGCAACCCUUAUCAUUAGUUGCCAACGCGUAAUGGCGGGAACUCUAAUGAGACUGCCUGGGUUAACCAGGAGGAAGGUGAGGAUGACGUCAAGUCAGCAUGGCCCUUAUGUCUGGGGCUACACACGUGCUACAAUGGCCGGUACAAUGGGAAGCGAAGCCGCGAGGCGGAGCAAAUCCAAAAAGCCGGCCCCAGUUCGGAUUGUAGUCUGCAACUCGACUACAUGAAGCCGGAAUUGCUAGUAAUGGCGUGUCAGCAACAGCGCCGUGAAUACGUUCCCGGGCCUUGUACACACCGUACGUC